UCUCCACGUUUGGGACAUUUUGCAGUAACGCCAGCAGCGCCGCAAUAAUAACUCAGCCGCCAACCAGUGGGAGUUAUUGGCAGACUGUGAAAGCGACGGCAGAAACGUUUGGUACAAGAUACUUCAUACAGUUCACUAUGAAAGACAUGGAAACAAUGAACGAGACUUUCUCACGCUGUCAUGUUAACGAAAUAAUCAAAGAUUCAGAAGAAGAGUAAUAUCCCGUUUCAGCUAUAACCAGCUUAAGAACCACCUGUUACGAGCAAAAAACAUUACUAAUAAAGACUGAGAAAAUUGAUCCUUA